rnacentral:rRNA from 1 species
CUACGGGGCGCACCAGCUGCGAAUCUUUUGCAAUGCACGAAAGUGUGACAAAGCGAACCAAAGUGUUUCACGCACGUGAAACUUUUCUUCAGUGUAAAAAAGUGGAGGAAUAAGGACCGGGAAAGACUGGUGCCAGCCGCCGCGGUAAUACCAGCGGUUCAAGUUGCAGCCAACAUUAUUGGGUCUAAAACAUCCGUAGCUUGUUUAUUAAGUUCCCUGUAAAAUUUUACGUCUCAAGCGUGAAGCUCGCGGGGAAUACUGAUAGGCUAGAGACCGGUAGAUGUGAGGAGUACGCUCGAGGUAAUGGUUAAAUAUGUUAAUCUUGGGUGGACUAACAAUCAGCGAAGGCACCUUACAAGGACGGAUCUGACAGUGAGGGAUGAAGGCCAGGGGCGCAAAACGGAUUAGAUACCCGAGUAGUC